AAGCCUAGGCUGGGCAUGGUCUGCUCUAUACUCGGGUUCACCGGGGGCCCUCCGCAUCAUAGGUAACAAAUGUCCCCAAGUUAUGAAGCCCUCUUGAGGCCCCCUUGGCCAUCCACCCCACGCUUCCCCAUUUGCACCGAUCUAAUUUCACAUCUCUCCUGAUUUUACUUUUUGAAAGCCUACAAAGAAUCCUUGCCUUCCCACGAAGGCACUGGCCACUCAGGCGGUGAGAGCCUCGCUCCCCGGGGGGACUCCUUUGCAGCCUCCGAACGCCCAGCGAAGCGGGAAAAUAUGGCUCCACGUCCUCCUGCACCGCUAAUCCUUGAACCAUCCACAGGUACAACUUGAAAGACCGCUGCUGCCACAAAGAAAGCAACCUGCUCUAAGCCAAUUCCAUUUCUGGUGUGUGACAAAGCCGGCUUCUUUAUUAGAUCGCUCCAGACGAGCAAAAGCAAGGCCGUGGGAUCUGGAGCACGCAGCCCCAACCUUAGCACCCAGGCACGCCAGCCCGCUCGCGGAGCGGUCCCUCGGCGGGGCCCCGGGACUCCCGCAGGCGCCGGGCGCAGGCGGCUGAGGGGGUGCCAGCCUCACCCCCGAGAAAGGCCGCGGAGAAGUUGCCGCCGCCUUCUCACCUGGAGACCAGCAGAUGCAUUAUUAACUUGGCUCGCAGCAAGGCCUCAUAAAUGCAAAGUAACCAUUCAAGGACACCACUUCCAGCUUGUAAUGUAUAAGGAUGCAACUGACCAAUUCCAGGGAUCCUCGUGGAUAAGGAAUAAACUCUGUGAAUGCAAGAUGCCAUAUUGUGAGCUAAGCUGUGGAUAGACCCUCUGGCAAGCAACUGAGGGCAGACUCCAGACAAUACCCAGAAAGGAACUGAAACUCUGAGUCCAACAACCCAAAGGAACUGAAUCCUCCCAACAACCAUAUGAGCUUGGAGGUAGAUUCUUCCCCAAUCAGAUCUUCAGAUAAGAAUCCAACUCCUAGCCAACUCCUUAAUUGCAGCCUCAUGAGAAGUCCCAAAGCAGAGGACUCAGCUAAGCCAUGCCUGGAUUCUUGAUUCACACAAACUCUGAGGUAAUAGAUGUGUGUUGUUUUAAGCCACUAACUUUGUGUAUGCAGCAACAGAUAACUAAUAAAAACACCUACCGAUGUUCUAA